AGAGUUUGAUCCUGGCUCAGAUUGAACGCUGGCGGAAUGCUUUACACAUGCAAGUCGAACGGCAGCGCGGAGAGCUUGCUCUCUGGUGGCGAGUGGCGAACGGGUGAGUAAUAUAUCGGAACGUGUCCAAUAAUGGGGGAUAACGAGUCGAAAGAUUCGCUAAUACCGCAUACGCCCUACGGGGGAAAGCAGGGGAUCGUAAGACCUUGCGUUAAUGGAGCGGCCGAUAUCUGAUUAGCUUGUUGGUGAGGUAAAGGCUCACCAAGGCGACGAUCAGUAGCUGGUCUGAGAGGACGACCAGCCACACUGGAACUGAGACACGGUCCAGACUCCUACGGGAGGCAGCAGUGGGGAAUUUUGGACAAUGGGCGAAAGCCUGAUCCAGCCAUUCCGCGUGAGUGAAGAAGGCCUUCGGGUUGUAAAGCUCUUUCGCAAGGGAAGAAAACUUAGGCGCUAAUAUCGCCUGAGGUUGACGGUACCUUGAUAAGAAGCACCGGCUAACUACGUGCCAGCAGCCGCGGUAAUACGUAGGGUGCGAGCGUUAAUCGGAAUUACUGGGCGUAAAGCGUGCGCAGGCGGUUUUGUAAGUCAGAUGUGAAAUCCCCGAGCUCAACUUGGGAACUGCGUUUGAAACUAUAAGACUAGAAUAUGUCAGAGGGGGGUAGAAUUCCACGUGUAGCAGUGAAAUGCGUAGAGAUGUGGAGGAAUACCAAUGGCGAAGGCAGCCCCCUGGGAUAAUAUUGACGCUCAUGCACGAAAGCGUGGGGAGCAAACAGGAUUAGAUACCCUGGUAGUCCACG
rnacentral:rRNA from 1 species